rnacentral:rRNA from 1 species
UACGUAGGGGGCUAGCGUUGUCCGGAAUCAUUGGGCGUAAAGAGCGUGUAGGCGGCCCGGUAAGUCCGCUGUAAAAGUCAAAGGCUCAACCUUUGAAUGUCAGUGGAUACUGCCGGGCUAGAGUCCGGAAGAGGCGAGUGGAAUUCCUGGUGUAGCGGUGAAAUGCGCAGAUAUCAGGAGGAACACCUAUGGCGAAGGCAGCUCGCUGGGACGGUACUGACGCUGAGGCGCGAAAGCGUGGGGAGCGAACAGG